rnacentral:misc_RNA from 1 species
GAAAUGCGAUAAGUAGUGUGAAUUGCAGAAUUCAGUGAAUCAUCGAAUCUUUGAACGCACAUUGCGCCCUAUGGUAUUCCGUAGGGCAUGCCUGUUCGAGCGUCAUUUACACCUUCAAGCCUUGCUUGGUGUUGGGUGACUGUGGCCCCUUUGGGGCCACUCGCCUUAAAGUCAUUGGCGGCCGGUUCAUUGGCUUUGUAGCGCAGCACAAUUGCGUCCUCGAAGCCGCUGGACCAGCUCCCAGAAGCUAAUUUUAAAUGUUUGACCUCGAAUCAGGUAGGGAUACCCGCUGAACUUAAGC